rnacentral:ncRNA from 1 species
AAGUCGGAAAAUUGGAUGCGUAACUCCGGGAGAAGGAUUGGCUCUGAGGGGCGAGUCAGGCAGGCCGAGAUCAGAUACGUGUCGGUCCAGUUUGAGGCUGGUUUCUUCGCUGCUUCGUGUGCUUCGAUGCGUAUUGUUGUGGAGUUACCGAACUCUGACCGCGAUCGAUCAUAGGCGGUUUCAGCUGUUAGUGUUGAAUGGCUAGCCACGCGCAGGGACUUGCUCUGCGUUGCGUCAAGCGGUUGUGCUUCUAUUGUUUGGCGCGCGACGGCUAACUAAGAACUUUCACGGACCAGGGGAAACCGACUGGCUAGUUAAAACAAAGCACUGCGAUAUGCGCUGACUGGUUGUGAUGCAAUGUGAUUUCUGCCCAGAGCUCUGAAUGUCAAGGUGAAGGUAUUCAGCCAAGCGCAUGUAAACGGUAGGAGUAAUUAUGACAAAUCGCUACAGCGUUAGUUAAUCCUUCUAAUGAACCAUUCUUGCGAACGGGGUAUCACUG